GGCAAGAGACCAACACCUCCGUGAGAACAGCAGGGCUGCUGUGCCCACAGCAGAGCUCCAACCGCCGCCUGGGGUUUUUGGGGCAGGCUGGGACAGCCAGCCAGCCAUACUGCUCUUGCUCUCCGCGCUUUCACAAGUGAUCAGAUAAUUGCUGUGUGACAGGUGCUUGUCAGCAGGCAACCAACACUUGUGCACAGGGAGUUUGUCUAUGCUAUAUUGACGAGCACUGUUCCUGUUGCAGCAAAAGCCCUGAUCGUCAGUCUGCUUGUGGGUAUUCACAAAAAUAUGCAGAAAAACUUUUCUUAGGACUUCCAGAAAGGAAAUCUAAAGAUAAAAAUUCAGUGAUUAUUCAAAAGAAUAAGCCCGUGACAUACAAGCCUUCUACAGCUAAAAAUAUUUCAGGCAGCAGAGCAUGAGCUGGCAGCUUUUUUUUCCACGCUGCCAAAAUAAAGCACAAGCAUUUAGCCACUGAAACAACCAGUUUCCUAGAGCCAGGUCAUUUCUAGUAAUGGCUCCAUGUAUGGUAACUGUUGAGUCAUGUCCUGAACCACUGAUAGAUCACCUGGGAAAAGGACCCAGUUAGCCUAGGAGAACAGGUGAAGGCAAUUCACUUGUGUGACUGUAAGGGGUGGAGCCUGGCUGUACUUCUCUUAGACCCCAUUUAAAGGCUGACUGCCACAAGAGAAAGAUCUCUUUCUGGAGAUCCCUCCUCUGUGGAGUUUUCCCCUGUGACCCUACAUCUUCAGAGACAGGAGUUGGGCUCAAUGAUCCCCAUGGUUCCCUUCAAUUUGGGAUGUUCUGUGACUCUAUCAGAAGCCCUCUCCCUCCCCAGUUGCGGUGUGUGAUAUUCACUAACCCACACCACUUCUUGGCCACUAUAUUUGAAAAUAAAACACCGAUUCACGUCAGCCCCAGAGCAGAGCUGCCACCGUCACACAGGGCAGACGUACUGGGGUGCAGCGU